GGCAGAAGCGCCGAGACUGGUUCUCGGAAGGGCUUCUACCGGUCUACAGAACAUGCCGUCGUCCUCAUGUCCCUUCAUCACUGGAGAUCAUCGCAGCGCCAAAGUGAUUUGGUGUGCUGUGAUGAGCGCCUGAGCUGGCCCACAGCCGCCCGCGGCCGCCUAUUUUAGGUGUUGGCCUGCUUGGGAUAUGGUGGGGGCCGGUAGCUCAGGUGGUUAGAGCGCACGCCUGAUAAGCGUGAGGUCGCAAGUUCAACUCUUGCUCGGCCCACCAGAUCGCAGUUGCGCAGGAAUUGGCGAGAGUUGAUUCCGCGACUGACGGCGUAGCAGGGCGCGACGCCGGUUUGUCGGCGUGCGAGGCGCUGGCGCUUUAGAUCGAGUUCCCUGAUACGGGGCCUUAGCUCAGCUGGGAGAGCACCUGCUUUGCAAGCAGGGGGUCAUCGGUUCGAUCCCGAUAGGCUCCACCAUUCUCGCCGGUUGGCGGCAUCAGAUGGUGGAAUCAGGUUCGGUGGGAAUGGCGAUCGGGCGCAAUCAAGAAUACUCCCAGGGAUGAAGACAUGAUAUCCGGCCGCAAGGCUGGUGAUGCGGAAGGGUUGCUUCUGCUGCUUCUUUGACAUUGUGAAUGGGUUUUUAAUCGAUGCCGUGGUGCAUUGGUUUGCAUGGCUCGGGGCUGCGAGGUUCCGGGUGUCGUGUGGAUCGAUGUGUCACUUACAGAUGUAUAUCUGGCUGAGAUUAUCGUCCGCAUCUAGAACAGCGCAG
rnacentral:tRNA from 1 species